ensembl:lncRNA
AGUGUGUGUGUUGCGAGUAGUGUGUGUGUGUGUGUUGCUAGUAGUGUGUGUGUUGUGAGUAGUGUGUGUGUGUGUGUUGUGAGUAGUGUGUGUGUGUGUGUUGCUAGUAGUGUGUGUGUUGCGAGUAGUGUGUGUGUUGUGAGUAGUGUGUGUGUGUUGUGUGUGUGUGCAUGGUUUAUCAGGUGAUGAGGCAGCUGAACUGAGUGAGAUUCCGAACAACCUGAUAAACGCCCCCUCCUCCUCUACCCAAACCCAAGCCCCACAGAUUUAAAUAGAAUAACGGCCAUUUUGGGCGUUCACUCGUCACAGUUCUGUGGUCAUCCUGUAACCCUGGCCUGAGAAGUGCACUCAGUGAUACGCUGUGAUGUUUGUGUUUUACGUGUUUGUGUUUACGUGUUUGUGUUUACGUGUUUGUGUUUACGUGUUUGUGCGCUUCUUCAGAGCUCAGCUCCGUUCCUGAGGAGGGCGUGCCCCCCACCCAGGCCAACGGCGAGGCCUACACUGCCUGGAGAAACCACAGCAACGCAGCUACGCAACACAGUGCCCUCCCAGAAGAGACGCAGGUGGGCAACGGAGCCCCUGUCGGAACCUCUGGGGCAAAUGGUGGCGGCGGCGGUGGUGGCGUCGGGGGCAGCAUGGGUAACUGAGCCUUUGGACUCUCAAGCUUGGCCAGGCUUUUGAUUUAGUGUAAUGCAUUCAGACCAAUCAUUGCACCCACGGGUGUGUAAUGUAUGCGAAGAGAUCAUCGAGUCGCUGCUGGCCGAGACCUUGCCUUGCUCUCAUCCCCACAUCCACGUGUAGACUGGUGUGAGGGAAUAUUUAUCAGCUCCAGUGGCCGCUUGACUGCUGGUUUCUCACUACAUAUUAUCAUUACUUUCUGUGUAGAUCGCACAACUACCACCCAACACAAGCUUCACACCAUACCAAUGAUAGCUCUGCAUGACGAAGGGGAAUCAGGCAUGCGGUAUGCUCCUCCAGCCGUCUCAGUGGCCGCCGCCCCAGUUCAUAGCAAGCCCGCGGGCUCCUCACAACAACACUGGGCAAGAGCACAGCCCGAGCCGACGGCUAAUCGCACCGGCGAGGUUUUCCAGGAGCCUCCAGACUCGCUCCGAGUGUCAGAGAUCCGUUCUCAGCACACGUACGAAACAUUAUCCGACAUGGUAAAAGACCCGAGUCCGGAACUUUCCGAGAGCCCGGACGAACCGCUGGACGUGCCCUCCUACCAGUUUGUGACGCAGCUGGAACCCUACGCCACCUCGGCCCCCGACCUGACGGAACCCCAGCACACGUCAGCGCACAGCCCCGCCAUCGAGGUGGAGGAGAUCGCAGACCUGGAGACAAGCACACUAAGGCCUUGUACGCCAGGGUGAGCAGAAGAAUCAAGUGCCCCACGCCACCCCCCAUGCCCCCGCCUGAGGAUGACGAGGAGGAAGAGGAAGUGGCAGAAGUCGUACCACCGCUGCCAGACAGAGCCCCCGACACAGAUAACACCCUCCCCCAAGGGCUCUAGGCAACACUGUUGGAGCUUUAGAUGCAUCUACUCUUAUUUAUAUAUUCAAUAUGUAUUCUGUCUUUCCCAGCACAUCGUUUGUGGGUUAUGUAUUGUUUGCUACUUUAAAGAUAAAAUGAUUUUAAAAGCACUCUGCUCAAGCAGGAAAUGCACUUGAGGUUUUGCCAUAUCAACUCACAUUAGAGACAGACUGUCCACCAAUUCUGAACUCAAUGCUGUGGGAACAGACUACACUACAGAUAUUUAGGGUUAGGGGUUCAUGUCCUUUCCUAUUUUAUGUUCACAGUUGUAAACACCUAUUCUAGUAAAGGGAUUGACUAAACAAAUGCUUUAAAUUCAAAUGUAUUAUUAAAUGUGUUGAAUUGUUUAUUCAGAUGCAAGGUUAGAUUUCAAGUUUGAGGUGAGACUAGGCCUAUGCCACACACACACAACUCAUUGGAAAACUUCCAGAAUGUAUCAUUACAACAAGCGAAGGACUUUCAUCAAGCUAAAAGUGCAGCAGGUCAGCAAAUUAGAAUUCUUAAACUGUUGUGUACUUUGUCUGAAAACACUAGAGAAUAGAGCCCGUAUCAAACACACAGAACAUGUACAAUGUUUUAUCUUUAAAUAAGGAUGAUGAGGUUAGAUUAAAUAUUAACAUUUAAGAACAUAAUUUAAUGUAACAUAAAACAUGAGAAUUUGUGUAACAGAUGGGUUGUUUACACAACUGGGAUACUGUACUGUGUACACAGUGUGUGUGAUGCUCUAGUCAUCUAUUGACCAAUUUCUUAAUUUGAAGGGCAUCAUGUGUUCUCUUGGACUUGGUGACCUUUGACAUGAAUAAAAAGCAUAGCCUAGGUCGUGCGCGAUGGCAAACCCCCAACACACCCCACAGAAGCAUGACAGUGCCAAACCCUGCUGCUUGAGGUUGGGGAAGAGUGAGUAAGCAAUAAUACAUAAAGAUGACUUGCACAAAUAAGAAUAACUUUACAUAACACGGGUUCAUUUUCAUUUAGGUAGGUCGACAGCUAGUCCUAAAUAAGGGGACAUUUUUUUUUUUAAAUAAAUGCAACAUUACUUUUUGUUUUUACCAGAUAGACUUAAGCAAUUUAAAAGGUCGCAAUAAUCACCGCCAAAGACAAAAAGCUUUGGGUCUUUGUCAUGCUCGAUUAAAUUCCAUCAUUAACUUGCUGAAGUUGUCCCUUUAACAUAACGUUGAUAACAAUAGAUAACUCUGCAACCUUUGGCUAACUGUUUUAAGACACACUUUAACUGAAAUUGUCAUGUCAUGCACAAACCUCUCUGCAUCAAUGUAAAAAUAUUUUCACAGCAACUCAAAAAGUCUACAUUUCACUAACACAAGUAAGCAUUACAUCAUCUGUUCCCGAAAUCCAGUAGCGCCGGUAAACUCUAGCGCUCUCCCGUAAACUACUACCGCCGACGUGCUGAGAAGGAGCCGUUUAAACCACGUGCUCGGUGUCACGUAGGACACGCACAACAUGUACCAUGGCCGCCAGAGCACACGAGCGGGAUGCAUGGCACGCUACGUCAC